AUGAAGGUCUUCACCACCCCAACAUCCCUUGAUCGUGUACUUGAGCCGUCACCGGACAUGAAAGAGUCAGUAAUGGCCGUGGAGAAGAUCGUAGGCUACAACUUCAAGAACAAGAAGCUUCUAGAAGAAGCUCUCACCCACCCCUCCGUCGCUGGGUCCGCUUCCUAUCAACGCCUCGAGGUCCUCGGCGACAGCGCUCUAAACCAUGCAGUGACCAACUACUUCUUUUGUAUGGCUGACCACCAAAAGUUCACCCAAGGCCAAAUCACUAAGCUACGCUCCGCCAAUGCUGAGAACCUCAACCUCGCCCGAGUCGCCGUUCAUCAUGGGCUUUAUCGCUACCUUCGCCGCCACAAUACAGCUGAUCUUGAUGAUCAGGUCUUUUUCUUUUUUAUUUUAGUCAAGCGUCUUCUGAUUCUGAGUGUGAUUGUUUAUAUAUAUAUAUAUAUAUAUAUUUUUUUUUUCAAACCUUUCUUUUUUAAUUUUAAACUUUUAGGUUAGGGAGUUUACUGAAGCUGUAAUUAAUGGAGAAGAAGAGCCGGGGCUUGUAUAUUGUAAGUCUGAAGAAGCCAAAGUUCUUGCAGAUAUUGUUGAAUCCGUGGCAGCUGCUGUUUACAUCGAGUUGAAUUUUGAUCUCGAUAGACUAUGGAUGGUGUGUAUUUAUAUUUAUCUUCUUUUAUUUAACAUGAAAGCGUGAAAACUUUUGUUUAUAAGUUUGUAAAUGCGUGGAAGUUGGGCAUAACUAUAUAUAACUUACGAAUUUUUGUUGUUUUCCUGUUGUGCUUUUGUAGAAAUUUAAGCCUCUUUUGGAGCCUAUAUUUACCCUUGAAAACUUGCAUGUUCACCCCACGACAGAAUUGAAUGAGUUUUGCCAGAAGAACGGGAAGCGCUAUCAAAUCAAGCUGCGGCCGAGACAUGAGACCCGAGAUGUAAGUAUUGCUGAUGUCUAUGUUGAUGGCGAGUUUGUUGCCUCAGGUUGGUCUAACAAGAAGAAAGGUGCAAAGCGUAACGCUGCUAUAGAAGCUGUAAAUAAGUUGUUUCAAUCGGUGGUUGUUGACGAUGGGUCGUUCCAAGGUAGUGCAGUUGGAAACAACAUGUCAUUUCGUAUUGAAGAAGCGAUUCAUGGGUUGCAUGUGCUUUGUGUCAAGAAGAGGUUGCCUAAACCUCCAGAAUACAAGUAUGAAUCUUUACUUUAUGAAACCCGUUAUAUAUUGCUGGAAUUAUGUUGUAAAUUCUACUGUUAACUAGAUCCAUAUUUGUUCUUUUAUUGCAGAGAAGAGAACGUGUUUGGUCCUCCACAUGAGAAGAAAUAUGUGUACUCAGUUAAAGUGGUAACUUCAGAUGGUACCGUGCAAUCUGUGACGGGAGAUGAAAAGUCAAGGAAAAAAAAAAGCGAUGAAUUCUGCAUCUUACAAGAUGAUCCUUGCUUUACAGCAAAGAAGCUAA
rnacentral:lncRNA from 1 species